AGAUCCCUUCUGUGUGCCAAGUUUUCCCUGACUGCAGACGGAGACCUAACAAUGGCCAAGGCCAAGGGGGACAGGCAGAAAGGAGAGGGUGGCCUCAAGUGACUUACAAGCAUUAAUUAGGAAACAGAUGACUGUCUUCCCAAACUUGCUGGACAUUUACAAGGUUCACAGCAUAGCUCACAGUUAAAGACCUUUCAUUCUGUUCCUGUUGGAGAAUUUUUGUGGAAAAAUCUUCAAUUGCAGUUGUGACACAAUGUGCCACGGGAAGAGAUACUUCUUUAAAUGCACUUCUCCAGUCAAAAUCUAGUAAAGUAGCCUAAAAUAUAAAUUUAUAUAGAGUCAUCUUACUCUUAACUUAGCAACAAAUGUUUCUAUUGUUAUAGAUAUAAAAUCAUUACUUUCCUUCAACAUGUUGAAUAAAGGUAUUCUUUGGUAUACUGUAAAAGCCAUUCCUACAACCUGAAAAAUAUUACCUAGUGAAUGAAGCAAUAU